ACGGCGAAGUGAAGCGGCAACAGCUCAAAUUUGAAAUCUGGCCUCCGGGCCCGAGUUGUAAUUUGCAGAGGAUGCUUUUGGCGAGGCGCCUUCCGAGUUCCCUGGAACGGGACGCCAUAGAGGGUGAGAGCCCCGUCUGGUUGGAUGCCGAGCCUCUGUAAAGCUCCUUCGACGAGUCGAGUAGUUUGGGAAUGCUGCUCUAAAUGGGAGGUAUAUGUCUUCUAAAGCUAAAUAUUGGCCAGAGACCGAUAGCGCACAAGUAGAGUGAUCGAAAGAUGAAAAGCACUUUGAAAAGAGGGUUAAACAGUACGUGAAAUUGUUGAAAGGGAAGCGCUUGUGACCAGACUUGGGCCCGGCGGAUCACCCAGCGUUCUCGCUGGUGCACUCCGGCGGGCCCAGGCCAGCAUCAGCUCGUCCCGGGGGACAAAGGCUCUGGGAAUGUGGCUCCUCCGGGAGUGUUAUAGCCCUCUGCGCAAUGCCCUGGGGCGGGCUGAGGACCGCGCAU
rnacentral:rRNA from 1 species